AUAGUUGUUUCACAAAUCAUGAUAAAAGUAUUAAACGAAAAACCUAACUCUACAAAUUUGUAAAUUUGAUUUGAUAAUCUUCAAUUAUUCGUGUUAUCUUUCCAGUGGUGAUCACGACAUGGUCAUACCUUAUAUUGGUACUUUAAAAUGGAUUCGUGGCCUCAAUCUAGCCAUAGAUGACGAGUGGAGACCUUGGAAUGUUAAUGACCAAGUUGCAGGGUUGGUUUCCAAUUCUUUAUCACUUCCAUUCACACAAAUGUAUAUUGAAUCUUAAUAUUAAUCUCAAAAUCUCAUUUACAUUUUACUUUGUAGAUACACAAGGAAAUAUAAGAAGAAUGACUUCUAUCUAACAUUUGUGACGGUGAAGGUAAGAAAAUUUCACUAUGCUCUUUCUCAUAGUGAUUGACGGAAAAGGAAGUAAACAUUUGUUAUAUAUUACAGGGUGCAGGUCAUACAGCUCCUGAAUAUAACCCUGAACAAUGUCUUGCAAUGCUCGACCGAUGGCUAUCUUUAUAUCCUUUAUAGGUUUGGGUUGAUGGCGAAAUUUUAUGGUUCAUCCAUUACACCUUUUUAACACUGUAUUGUCAAUAUAUAUUCUGUAAUUGUUAAUUUAGCUAAUAAAACCAAAUGUAGUAUGACAAUCAUAAAGAAAUCUAUUAUAAAUGAUUGAAUAUAAAAGAAAAGAUGAUUUUAACCUAAUUUCAAUCAUAUUUAGCUUUAUAGAAUCUUUUUCUUUCUUUGAAACAAUAUCAAUACUUACAUUUUAAUCAAAGCCCCACAAACCACAGACCUAAACUACACAGUAAAAUUAACUCAAAGAAAUAAACUCCUUUACUAGGUCCCAUAUGAAGCCAAAUCGAGGGUCACUUUAUUCCCAUCUUAAGAAUAAAGCGACACGAACCACAAUUAAGAUUACAUAGAGAAGCAAAAAAACAUCUAAUACAAUAACUCCAAAUUAGGAAUGGCAAUAUUCCAUGACCUUUACUCGCUCUGCAUUACCCCAUCCCAUAUAGGGGUGUGAACAAGGUCUCUAUCUCAAAUUCACAAAAUUCGCCAUGAAUCUUUUUAUUCUGCUUAAUUUUUAUUUUCCAAUUUAGAUUGCAUUUAAAAAUUAAGUAAAUAAUAAAUAAAUAAUUAGUUAAAAAAUCAUAUCAGGGAUUUUAUUUUUCGUUGAAAAUAUACUGACAAAGGUUUCAACAAACGACUCUCCAACUGCUUUAUCAUGGGAACUGGUCGUUUCCGAACAGAUUUGGCUUCACAACUGACCAUGAUUGGAGGAGAGGCGCAUAAGGGGAAAUGGAAAAAAUGGACUUUUUUUUAAUCGAAACCGAUGAUAUGAUUAUCACUUUAACCAAAAUUUUUGAUUUCAUGCUUAAAGCUUAAUACAUUAACUACAAUUUUUGAAGAUUCACUUGCCACAAAAAUUAGAAGUUGAAGACCUAUUUAUGAAUAGAUGAAAACUCUAUGAAACCUAAGUGCUCAUUGAAGUACAUAUAUUCCGUUUGUGUUAUACUUUUAGCGUUAAUCAAAUUAGAUGCUUGAAUUAAAAUAAGUGUUUUUAAGCAUUUGAUUUCCUAAGAUUUCUUCUUGUCAUCUCGAGGUCUUAUUAACUUCCCCAACGUAUUUACAUGGGCUAAUCCUCCGUCGAAAAGGUCUAUUGUUCAGUAAAAAAAAUAAUUUAUCUAGCAUUAAUGGUACUACAACAUAGGUUUAGGUGAUGAAAGAUAGUAUUAAGUGAUUCAUUUAACUAUACACCUCGGUUCAUGUCACAUUAGUGCUACUUAAACUAAUAGUUUAACACCAGUGUUAGUAAAUACCAUUACUUGUUAAAAAAAAAUGGUGAACCUAAUACAUCGCUGAAAUUGGAACGGACUGAUCUUGAAUUAAUUGAAAACUUGUCAAGGGUACUUGCACCUACCUUGUCUUUUAUGGAAGAAAAAUUACUGUGGGAUGGACAAUUCUUGGGAUAAAAUAGUUGUAAUGAUUUCAAUAUCUUAAAAAGCGUGCCAUGUAAGUUAUAGUAGUCAAGCAAAGACAGCAACUCAUGGCUGAGUAUUGCUACACGAACAGGGUAAGUCUUUCAGCGUUAAUGUUCAUGGCUGGAUCUAUCUCAAGUGCUAGCAAAAAUAUUAUAUACUACACUGACAAGCAGAAGUUGUCAGAGUCUCCACACAGUUAGCAAAAUAAAAGUUGCACAGUAACUUGAACAGAAGCAUGUGACAUUAACAGUGGAAGUUUGAGACCUUACUUCUUUGUUUAAUCUUAUUUCUUCAAUAGUGCAUUGACAUUAUUAUGAUUUUACUAGGUUGUCCUGAAUUUGGUGCAGAAUAUAUAGAACCUGUCCAUUAGUAGGGGCGAAUCCAAGGGUUGAGUUUAGCUAGGGCGGACCGCAAGCGUCGAAAGCUUACUAUCGACAGCCAACAUACGUGACAACAGGGUUGUUUACUAAUAUUUAAAUAAAUAAUAUUCCAAAAAUCAUACAGAUUAGAACUAGAAGAACUGAUACACAAUUAGAAUUAGAACUAGGUACGAACUUUCAUUUUGGAUAAAAAAUUGUUCCAUAAUAUGCAAAAUGCCCAAAUUUAUUUUUCAAUUAAAUAGGCAAUAUAUAUUAACAAAAUGCCAUUAUUCAGUUUACAAUUAAAGUUAAUUAAACAAGCAUUAUUAUGUUAACAAAAUUGAGAUUAUUUAUGUACUUAUAUCAAUUUUAUGUACUUGUAUGAUUCCACUUUUUCGCAAUCGAUUUAUUGUAAACGAAAAGUGAAAUCUUUCAUUAAUUAAACAAGUUUUGUUGAAAGAUUUCUUAUGACACUAAGGCCAAUUUUCCUAUGAAUUCAUCCACCAUUAAUUGACCAAACUCUCAAAUCAGUUGAUUAGAGGGACAAAAAAAAGAAAAAAAAAAAGCAAGAAGAGAGACAAAGCACUGGUUAAAAUGUUUCUACUUGCAUUAAACCGGUAAAAUUGAACAUAUAUUAAUUUGUUACAUUAUGUUAUAAAAAAUCAAUGAAUGUCGUGAUGGUGAAGUGGUCAAUAUGUNNNNNNNNNNNNNNNNNNNNNNNNNNNNNNNNNNNNNNNNNNNNNNNNNNNNNNNNNNNNNNNNNNNNNNNNNNNNNNNNNNNNNNNNNNNNNNNNNNNNNNNNNNNNNNNNNNNNNNNNNNNNNNNNNNNNNNNNNNNNNNNNNNNNNNNNNNNNNNNNNNNNNNNNNNNNNNNNNNNNNNNNNNNNNNNNNNNNNNNNNNNNNNNNNNNNNNNNNNNNNNNNNNNNNNNNNNNNNNNNNNNNNNNNNNNNNNNNNNNNNNNNNNNNNNNNNNNNNNNNNNNNNNNNNNNNNNNNNNNNNNNNNNNNNNNNNNNNNNNNNNNNNNNNNNNNNNNNNNNNNNNNNNNNNNNNNNNNNNNNNNNNNNNNNNNNNNNNNNNNNNNNNNNNNNNNNNNNNNNNNNNNNNNNNNNNNNNNNNNNNNNNNNNNNNNNNNNNNNNNNNNNNNNNNNNNNNNNNNNNNNNNNNNNNNNNNNNNNNNNNNNNNNNNNNNNNNNNNNNNNNNNNNNNNNNNNNNNNNNNNNNNNNNNNNNNNNNNNNNNNNNNNNNNNNNNNNNNNNNNNNNNNNNNNNNNNNNNNNNNNNNNNNNNNNNNNNNNNNNNNNNNNNNNNNNNNNNNNNNNNNNNNNNNNNNNNNNNNNNNNNNNNNNNNNNNNNNNNNNNNNNNNNNNNNNNNNNNNNNNNNNNNNNNNNNNNNNNNNNNNNNNNNNNNNNNNNNNNNNNNNNNNNNNNNNNNNNNNNNNNNNNNNNNNNNNNNNNNNNNNNNNNNNNNNNNNNNNNNNNNNNNNNNNNNNNNNNNNNNNNNNNNNNNNNNNNNNNNNNNNNNNNNNNNNNNNNNNNNNNNNNNNNNNNNNNNNNNNNNNNNNNNNNNNNNNNNNNNNNNNNNNNNNNNNNNNNNNNNNNNNNNNNNNNNNNNNNNNNNNNNUAAUACCUAAACAUCUCUAACUAUAAAUACCUAAGCCUUACAAGUUUUUCAGUAGUGGUUGUCUGUUGUGCCUCUCUUGCAAAACAAAUUCAUAUCAUUGUUUGAAGAUCCAAGAAUAUAUUCAAAACUUGAUUCAAUCCAUUCAUUCUUGAGAUCCUACAACAAUAGUUUGUGAAAACAUCAAAUCCUCAAAUUCAAAACACAUGACUUCCCUAAUACUUUAAGAAAAACCAAAAACUAUCACGAAUGCUCUACUAUUUAGUGUGUGUCAACUAAACUUUAUACUUAUUAGGUAAUAGUUAUUAUAAACAUGAUGCACCUUAGAGCUUCAUUAUAAUGGAGAAUAAAAUAGAGGAAAGAGUAAGCAUCACUUUGCUUGUUUUAUUAAUUAUUCGGUCAAAAACUAUAGAGAUUUAAGGAAACUACAAGGAUUUAAGGAAGCUAUUGUACCGUAUGUAUAUAAUAGGUUUACAUAAUGGUUUGCAUACAUAUGAUGUAGUGAGAUGUGAUUGGAUCAAAGUUUCUUCAAUUAAAUAAAAAAAACUUUCUCAUUCUCUUUUCGACACCUCAUCUGUAAAAUGAAUCUGUAGAAAUCUAUAAAACGCCAAUUUUUCACAAUAAAUAAUGUGUAGAAUAUAGAAGAAGCAACAACACUUUGAACCAUGUUAUAACAGAUUUCUUUCUUCUCCCUUUUCAUUUGCAGACUGUCAAUGUUAUAUUCAUUUAAAUCAUAAAACUAAAAACCUACAUAAAGAUUUUGAAUGGCCCAUUAGAAUUAAAUGAUGGAAUUUGGCUGUGAAAUUUAGUGUAAAAAGUUGAAAUAUAUGUACAAUUCUGAACCUGAAGAGAGACGAUAGUAAUGGAUUUGAUUAGAUUUGAUUCUAUGACUCACAUCCUAAAUAAAAUCAAUUUUAGAAAAAAAAUUCAAAUUUUUUUGUAGGGUGACUUGAAGCCACAUGACCCCGUAUGGGUCUACCCGUUAUACUUCACACCAAUGGUGCUAAAGAGCAUUAGUUUCAUUAAAAUCGAUUGACUAUUCAUUGAUGUCCUUCAUAACCACGAAUUCUUGAAAAUGAACACAUAUUUCAUCCUCCAAAGAAUAGUCAACACGAAGCUUUGAUACGAAAAGCCUCUAAUAAGCAAAGCAUAUGACCAACUUUUCGCAUAUCGAAAAUAACCACCUCAAUAUAUUUAUCAUCCAAGUCAUAGAAGUUAAAAUCUUUAUCUUUCGAAGCAUUGUUAACAGCAUAAGUAGAAAAGUUAAAAAUAAGUAAACUAGUAAUACAAUUAAUCGCUUGUCUAGUUUCGCUUUUUCUUCAAAAAUCGAUUCUUGCAAGGGAUGUGGACCUCUUUGCAAUUAAAUAUAUGUCGUGCAAAAAAGAUAAACUAUGGGAAUGAAUAAAGCAGCCGCCUCAUCAAAUGUUACUGUUGUUGGAAAAUAAAACAGAUGGAGGUAAUAUAUAUGAUAUGAUAUGAAGUAUAUGAUUGCACAAAAAAAUGGUAAAAGGCAAAUAAUUAAUUGACAGAGGAACGGAGUAUUUUAUUUAAUUGAUGAAUAUGAAGGAAACAAAUACAAUAAUUGUGCCUACAUAAUUACUCUAUAUUUCAAUAAUACAAAACUUACGAAAAGAGUCUAGUGUUUAUAGGGGAGCGUGCCAAACCCUAGAAAUACCACAAAGAUGAAAACAAGAUAAAAAAUUACGCGCAAUAAAGAAAACAAUAUUCUUCAAAUAAAAGCGCGUAUAAUAAAGAAAAAAAAUUUUCCCCAAAAAUCCAAACUAAUUUGGGUCAAAAAACCCAACAAUCUCCAUAUUGACACAAAUUUUAAUGCAAUGAACGAAGCUCCGAAAUUUCUCAACCUAAAAAAAAAAAAUCUAACUGCAACAAAAAGUCGAACUCUUCAACAAGAACCGAACUUUCUCCAACAUAAAAAUACCCAUCUUCUUCCUAGUAUCCAACACUAAUACAUAAACCUAAACACCGGGUUAUAUCAAAAUUUACAAAGGAUUAGAAAUUACCAAAUAGUAUCAAAACACACACUGUAACAGAAUCAACUCCCAAUGUUUUUAAUAAAUGCCCCUGGCUAGUCUCAAUACCUUCAAAAACACUAAAGCAUAUACAACCGAAUCAGCAUUCACAUACCCAUCUCUAAUAGGACUAUACUUAGCAGUUGAAUACGAUGGAACCGUGGGUAAUGGUGGCAAAGUGGAAUUACUCAUAUCCUCCAAACUUGACUAAGUAGUAUUUUUUAAUAAGGACCCCGAACAAAAUCCCAAAGGUAGAGUACGAAAAUGAAUCUCCACCAUGGUACUAAAUUUUGUGCUGACUUUUCUUGACAAGUUCCCCCAACCUUUCAAGAUGUAUAAUUGGGACCUCUUUUGCUCCUAUAACACAACAUGAACACCCUUCCAAACCCUCAAGACUCUACCUCCUCUAAAGAAUGCGUGCCCUUUUGAAUAAAGAGUACUCAACAAAAUGAGAUUCUUCUUCAAGUUGGAAUAUAUCAAACGUGAUCAAGUAAUUCACAUUUUCCAUCCACUAGCUUCAAUCUUACCUACAAAUACCAGCUACUUGACAAAGUUUGUUGUUAUGUGUAACAACGAUAUCUUGCGUCACUAUUUCGUAUGUUUCAAAAAAAUCCCGAUUUUCGGACACAUAUGAAACGCAUAUGCUGUAUCCAAAAUCCAUUCUUCGUAAGUUUGGAUUACAUGUCAGAAAUCGUCAAAACAUCUCAUUCACUCAAAUAGUUCUCAGCUAUGUUGGUUCCGUCUAAAGUAUUUGAUAGCUUUCCAAGAUUUGCAGUCAAAUUACCUUUGUUCUACAAUUUGUCGCAACCUCUCUUAAUGUGUCUUUUCUUCUUAUAAUAAUAACAAAUCUGAUUACUGAAAUUUGACAUUGACUUACCCCUUCUUUGAUCACUAUGAACAACAAGGCCUUCUCCAUCUUGGGCCUUAGAUCUAUCCAGAUGCUUCAUCUUCUUUUUUGAAAACAAGGUAUCGUACGCAUCUACAAUGAGGAGCGUACCACAACAAUACAAGAUUGUGUCUCUAAACGAAGUAAAUGAAGCGGGCAACGAGCACAAAUGGAUUAAGGCCAAACUUCUUCAUCAUAUUUUACCCCUAAAAUUUUCAAAUCAAUGACAAUUUCCUUGGACACGGCUAGAUGAUAUUCCAGAUAUCCACCUUCUGUCCCGCGAUGAGAAUACCUCCUUUGCAUUAGACACAAUUUGCUUGUCAACUUUUAGUCAUGCACAAUUGCUCCAACUUCAACCACAAUGCAGUUGCCAUUUUUUCCUUCAAAACGUCCUGAAAAUUAUUGUUAGAAAGAUAAAAUGAAUCUGUGAAGUGCCUUUCGAUCCUUCCAUUCUUUCUCUUCCAUCGUUCAAGUUGUAGGCAUUUUUGUCAAAUCCCAACAACUCAUCAUCUAAAGCUCAUAUCUUUACUUGUUACAGCGAUAAUCUUUUAUUGCAAUUCAAGAGCGAAAUUUCAUACUUUAUUGCUGCCAUCAAUAACAAAAACCUCCAAAAAUCACAACCAAUAGCUCUAAUACCACUUAUUGGGAAAUAAAAGGGAUGGAGGUAAUAUAUAUGAUACAAUAUGAAGUAUAUGUUCGCAAACAAACAAUAAGAUAAAAGGAAAAUAAUUAAUUGGCAGUGAAAUGGAGUAUUUUAUUCAAUUGACGAAUAUGAAGAAAAUAAAAACAAUAAUUGUGCCUAAACAAUUAUUCUAUAUUUCAAUAAUACAAAAUUUGUGAAAAGAGUUUAGUAUUUAUAGAAGAGCAUAUCAAACCCUAAAAAUAUCACAAAGAUGAAAAUAAGAUAAAAAUAAUGUGGAAUAAAUGAAACAAUAUUUUUCCAAUAAAAGCACGUGCAAUAAAGGAAAAAAAUAUUUUCCCUAAUAAUCCAACCUAAUUUGGGUCAAAAAACCCAAUAGAUAUUUUGUGCAAAGACCAUUUUGUCCUAUUUCAAAGAUCCAGUUGAAAACAUAUUAGAACUAUACACUCACAAUGCACUACUGUGUAAUGGGCUCUAGUUACACCACAUUUCACGUGAGGUUUAGGCGAUUUAUUGGCAGGGUUAAAAAUGUAUUUAAGCAAGCUAGGGGAAGGGUACAGCCUUUGAAUCGGUCUCAUUUUUUGGCCAGAAUUUUUAAUUCAAAUUCUCCGUUUCAAACUAUUAUCAUUGGUAAUAAAAACCACAUAAAUUCUAAAUCUAGUUCAAGACCAAAUAAUCAAUACAUAUUUUAGAAAACAUGAAUUUUUCAAUAAUAAUUUUAAAACAAUAAGAAAUUAAGUCUUCAAAAUCAACUAAAAGAACAGUAGAAAAAAAUGUCUUUAAUAUUGGUUAUUUAUUUAUUUAUUUACAUAACAAUAAAAUUGGGAUGUCCAAUCAAAAACAUUCAGUGCAAUCUCAAGUUAUUAUUUUUGGUUUCUUAAUUUCUUAGUGAUGACUUUGCGAUUCAUCUGGCAAAAAUGCUCCUACGACUUUAACUCCCCGUUUUUGUAAAUAAUGGUUCAGCUUAAUUAUCACAGAAUUCAAUCUAUAGUUACAUGGUUCGGAACUCCAUAAUUUCCCAAAAUACAAAAAUUGGUUCUAAAAUUUGGAUGGUUAAGUCUGAUUUUGGUGUGGGGAAAAAAGUUCCGUUUUAUAAUUAUUGAUGUAUAAACGAAAAAUAAUGUCUAAUGGCAUACCAUAUCAUUUUACUAUUAUUAAGACUAAUAGUUCUACAAUUUUUAAAGUAUCAUCAAAUUCUCCGUGAGAUUUUUAAACUCCACAAGGCGGAAGCGUUAGAAUUUCCCAAAAUGAAGAAAAUGAUAUGUAGUAGUUCUGUAUUAUUAUUAUUAUUUUUUUUUUAACGAGGUGUCCCAAUUUGCGCCAGACUAUAUCCUCGUCCCUGAACUUCCAGCCCCUCAGCUGCUCGGGGAGGUAAAUCGCAGGUUGUGCCCUUGUUGGUUCCCACAUGGCUUUUACUCCUUCCCCAAAGUGUAGUAGUUCUGUAUUAGUACAUAUGAAGAGCAGACCAAGACAAAAAGGCUGGCAUAGAGGAUGACGAUCACACUAUAUUAUGCCCUUGUUUGAGCUCCAUUUUUUUGGAUAGAAUGAAUUUUUGAACAGUGUAUUGAUGGAAAAUGUAUAGUUAAAAAAUAAGGAAAAGUUUUAAAUUUACAUGCAAUAUUAUUUUAUUGAAGACUGUGUGAUUGAAAUGAUGUCAAAACACUGUUAAAAAAAUGAAUUUUUGCAAAAGAAUGAGGUUCAAACGAGGGCAUCCUUGUCACCGUCCACAGGUUUUUUUUUUUUUUUUAAUAUGAAGGACAAAAAAAGAUUCCAAUAUUCAAACUUUUCCCAUUGUAGUAAACUCUCUCAUCAAUUUCAAACAGGAAAGUUUAUCUCAGAUCUAUGCCAUUUUCGAAAAACACAGUAAAACACAUAUUUCUGCAGUUCAAUUUCUAGGCUUAUUAUUAUGAAGUUGAUAAGGUUUGAUGCACUUCUUCUUCUGCUUCAGCUCCUCUUUAGCAAGGCAGCAUCAGAGUUCAAUAUAGAGACUCUUCCGGGUUAUUCGGGUACUCUUCCUGUCAAACUCGAAACAGGGUGUGUUUCUUUCAUUCUUUAACAACUUCCUUUUGACUUUUAAUUCCAGAAACUGAAUAACUUUUUUAUAAAUUUGGAUGAUUAGAUAUAUUGAUGUGGGAGAAACUGAAGAAGUGCAACUAUUCUACUACUUCGUCGAGUCCGAAAGCAAUCCUAAAACGGACCCUAUUCUGCUUUGGCUCACGGGUGGACCUGGUUGCUCUGCUCUCUCCGGCCUCUUUUAUGAAAUCGGUACUCUCUAUAUAUGUGUGUGUGUUAUUAUUUUCUUUUAGUAAAUGCGACUUAUACAUAUUCAGGGAGUUACACCUUUCCUAUGAAUAAACGAGAGAGAUGUGUAUUAUUAUUUUCUUUUAGUAAGGACUUAUAUAUAUUCAGGGAAUUACACCUUUCCUAUGAAUAAACGAGAGAGAUAUGUGUGUGUGCACUAUGCAAAUGAUGAGUAGCAGCCAGCAAAAUAUGGAAAGCGAUUCGCUUUAUUCAAAUUGAUCUUACGAAAGAUCUGCAAUUGCUCAGUACCGUAAAUAAGUAAUAUAGUGAUAAGUGGAAUGAUUUCACCGAAUUUCUGACUCAAAAUUUUUGCAAUAAUUUUACAAAUGAUGAGAAAACCGGUUCCUAUAUCCGGUGUGAGUUCGCUAAUUUAAUGGAUUUUAAUGGUGAUAUAUGGUUGACACAGCCCCGGCCCCAGCUUCUGUCCCUGUUCCUCAAGCUAAGUUUCAAUUUGUUUUGUUUAGAAUGAAUUUCCAUUCCAAGAAUAUAUUUCCAAGCAGCUGGUCGUAGAAUUCGACAAGGUAAACUUUACGGCUUAAAAAUCCACUGAAAAACCCAUUGCCCCUUACCCAGUCUCUUUACAAAAAAAAAAAAAAUAUCCAUGCUAAAAAUUGUUAAAUAUAAUCAGCAAGAUUCACUGGAUUGAAAGAAUAUUAUAUUUUGACAACCCAUUAAACUAUAUUUGAAAUAUAACUUUUACGAUUUUCAUGCCAAUUUUGCAUGCUUUUGUGUAGGUCCAUUAGCUUUCAAUGUUGCAGAUUUUGAUGGAAACUUACCAUCUAUUCACCAAAAUCCAUAUUCAUGGACCAAGGUCAAAAACAUAUUUCAUUCCAUGAUCAAAGUCAUAUACGUAUCUCAUCUAUAGCUCUCUAAGUUUAGCACUGCAAUAAUUUAGCCUUAUGAUUUGCAGGUUGCCAAUAUUAUAUUUAUUGAUUGGCCCGUUGGCACUGGAUUUUCCUAUGCAAACACAUCGAAAGGUUACUCUUCUUCAGAUACCAAAUCAGCAAAAGACAACUAUACGUUUCUUAGAAAGGUACAUUGAUAUUGUUAAUCAUAAGUCAUAGUUGUAAGUAGCUAUUGAAGAGAAUAGAAUUUUAAGUUGUUAGGCUUCUCCGUUUCACCUAUUAAGAAGUCGCUUAUAGACAACUCACUCUUAAAAGUAAUGUGUGAGGUUAGAAUUUUCGAUGUAUUUGUAAACUUCGAUGUAUUUGUAAACCCAUAAGCUAGGCCUUUCACUAGUGAUGUAGGAUUUAAAAUAGUCGCUAUACCAUCCACAUGUGUUUCCAGGUUAGUGAUAUAACAAAAUAUUGAAAAUGCAGUGGUUGUUGAAUCACCCUAUGUUUAUGAAAAAUCGUUUAUAUGUUGCGGGGGACUCUUAUGGUGGCAAACUGGUUCCCAUGGUUGCCUUGGAAAUAUCAAAAGGUAUGUCUGUAAAUAAGAAAUAUAAAACUUGGUUUUCUUUUUUUUUUUCUUUUUUUUUUCUUUUUGUGUGUGUGUGUCAAUAAACUAUGCUUGAUUAAGUUGUAAGUGCUGCUGGUAAUGCAGGCAAUGAAGCAGGCUUACAGCCAUGAAUAUCUUUCCAAGUACUAAUUUACUAUUUAUAUGAUAACUCCAUUUUUAUUUUCAAAUUUUGCAAUAUCACAUUAAUGAGAGAGUGCUUUCGGAAUUGAAAUAGGGAUACAUUAUUGGGAAUGGAUUAACGGAUCCAAACAUUGAUUACAAUGAACGAAUUCCAUAUGCUCACCGAAUGGCACUUAUAUCGGAUGAAUAUUUUGAGGUAGUAAUAUUCUUGAAUCAAUUAUUUUGAUGAUAAAAUUAAUCACACCUAAAACUUGUUAUUGAAUCUAUUUCCCUUAUUCAUGUAACUUGAUACAAUUUUAGUCGGCAAAAAUUAGCUGUGAUGGGAAAUAUUACAAUCCUGAUCCAAAAAAUUUGCAAUGUCUUUAUGCUCUCAGACCGAUCCAAGAGGUAGCACUUGCAUCUUGUUAUAUUUUAUAUUUUCUUUGAAAUUUAGUAUAGCAUAAACACUCAUGAAAUGAUCAAAUAUUGCAGAGUAUUAAAAAUGUAAAUCGAGGACACAUUCUGGAACCAAAAUGUAAACAUAUAGCACCAAAACCAAAUGAAUUGGGAUGGGAUCAAACACUUGCUGAAGAUGAUUCCACUGACCACCUCCUCCUCCCAUCCAAAAUAAAUGGAUUGUGGUGCCGCGUAAUUUCGACCUCUAUUUAUAUAUCUCAUAGCAUGUUCUCCUAGAGUUAACAGGGUUUCUCAAGGUGUGGUUUCUUUUUUGCAGUUUCAAACUUACGUGACAUCAUAUAUUUGGGCAAAUGAUCCAACCGUCCAAGAAGCUCUUCAUAUUAAAAAGGUACUUCUAAAUCAAAAUUGUUAAAAACCCACUAUACUUUAUAAUGGCUAAUCUUUGAUUUGAUUGCCAGGGAACAAUAACAGAUUGGACAAGAUGCAAUAACAGCUUAUCCUAUGCACAUAAUAUAGAAAGUGUUGUUCAAUAUCAUAAAAUCCUCAGCAGGAAAGGAUAUGAAGCUUUGGUGUACAAGUAAGUCAUAUUCAUUUAUUUCUUAAACAAAGUGACUUAUUUUGUUCUAAGCUUAUUCUAGUCCAUCAACUAAGAUAUAGUUGUUUCAAAAGUCAAGGUAAAAGUAUUAAACAAAAAACCUAACUCUACAAAUUUGUAAAUUUGAUUUAAUCUUUUUCAAUUGUUCAUGUUAUCUUUCCAGUGGUGAUCAUGACAUGCUCAUAACUUAUAUGGGUACUUUAAAAUGGAUUCAUAGUCUCAAUCUAACCAUAGAUGACGAGUGGAGACCUUGGAAUGUUAACGGCCAAUUUGCAGGGUUGGUUUCCAAUUCUUUAUCUCAUCCAUUCACACAGAUAUAUGUUGCAUCUUAUUGAAUAAAUCUCAAAAUCUCAUUUACAUAUUAUUUUGUAGAUACACAAGAAAAUACAAGAAGAAUGACUUCUAUCUCACAUUUGUAACGGUGAAGUUAAGAAAAUUUCACUAUGCUCUUUCUCACGGUGAUUGAAAGAAAAAAGAAGUAAACAUGUGUAAUCUAUUGCAGGGUGCAGGUCAUACGGCUCCGGAAUAUAACCCUGAACAAUGUCUUGCAAUGCUCAAUCGAUGGCUCUCUUUAUAUCCUUUAUAGAUUCGGAUUGAUGGCUAAGUUUUUAGGGUUCAUCCAUUACACCUUUUUAGCACUGUGAAAUCAUGAGAAAAAAAGUGAAAAAAAAAAUUUAUAAUGAAAGCAAACUUCAAAAUAAAGUAAUAGCAAUGCCAUGUAAUGUAAUGUUACGAUGCACGUACGUCAUCAAAUCAAAGAUGCCUUGGCUUGGAUUAUCUGGUCCUGUGGUAUCGUUUUCCAUGGUGGUGGACUCCACCAAAUGUUAUUGGGUUGAAGCCUCGAAGUCGUUCAGCCUCCUUAGCAUUGAUCACACACUUAGAUGAAGUAACCUUGUAACGUGAACAGUCAUAGCAGUACGAGUAUUGCAUGUGCUUACGUAAACUCUCAAAUUUCAUUUGCUUUUCACGAAUGCAUUUUUAGCAGUAUUUUAAAAAGCGUAAAGCGUGACUCGGUGUGAAAGCCAAUUUUCAAGCUUUACGAAUCUAGCCAAGGCUUAGGAGUAAAAAAAUGUUUUUUAUUUAUUUUUAAUAUUAUUUAAAAUUUUAUUAAAAAUUAUUUAAUAAUUAAAAUAAUAUAUACCAAACAUUUAAAAUUAUAACAUACUAUAUUUAUUUAAUAAUUCCUACAGUUAGUAAAUUAUACAAUUUUUAAUUUUUCAAAGUGCAAAAAUUAGAUUUUUUUUUCAUAGUUUCAACUUUCAACAGAUAAGUCUUACUUGAAAUUUUCUAACAGAUUUUUAUUUUUGACUCUUGUUCAAAUAAAGUUUUUUAAAAACUUGAAACAAAUCUCAAAUGAAAGGCUUUUAAAAAAAAAUAAAAUAAUUAAUAAAGCGCCACUAGGCACUCAUUGUCAAGGUGUAGCAUUUCGCUCGGGGCCGUGCCUAAGCAUUGCUUGGCGAGCUUUUUAGAAUGCUAUUGUUUAGUAUAGUAAUUUGUCCCUUUAUUUUUCUUUUAACCCUUUUUGAAGAGAAUAACGAGAUGGAAAGAAAUUGAUUCAAAAAGUAGAUAAUAUUGUUUUAUUAAUCAAAAAAUUCGAUUUUCCCUUAGUUAAAGAUAUAGCCUUUUAGAAGUAUACGAAAUUAAGAAAAUGGAGCAGAAAAUUGUUAAAAUUAUUUGAAUAGCUCGCCAACAAAUUGAACGUGAAAGGUAGAACAUUUUGUUGCGAUAGUAAUGUUCUUAUUUGGUAAGGAUACCAUUACAUUUGGAGUUACGCGUUGAGUUUUACUCAACCCCAUAAACUUGUUUCAUUAAGCACCAUCAACUUAAUCAUCAUUUUUCUAUCCAGUAGAUUUGACAAACUUCAUAUGGUGACGAAGAAAAUGAGUGGAGAAUUCAUGAAAUGGGCAAUAUGUUAAUGGUAUUGCAUUUUCCCAACCUCAUCCCUAAUGAAUAAUAAGCAUUUGACUAUACUCCAUACAUUAGCAGUUAAAAGAGAUACAUGUUGAACAUUUUCAUAGAUCUUAGCAUUUAUUUUCCUUGGUAAUCUUGUUUUUCAUUUCUUUUAGGGAAAAUUGUAGCCGAGGUACCAAUACUUUUGUUUAUUAGCAGACUUUGCCCAAACCUUUAGUUUGUGCCACCGGAGAUACCAAACCUUUAAAAAAUGAGCAUGACAGUCCAAAAUGACGGUUUCCGUCUGUUUGACCGCCAAAAUCGUCAAUUGACCCCUCUAAUGAUAUUUUCAAGAAUUUUCUCCAAAUAAGAGAAGGGCAACAUAGACAUUACACACAUUUCCCUCCUCUACAUCAAACACGUCAGUUACAACUUCAUUCUACUCACCAUCCACUAUGGACCCUACGAAAACCCACAAAGAAGACGAAAUGUACGUCGAAGAAGACGAACAUCCAGUGGACAUUGCAGCCCACAUUCGAGGCUCUCUUCCCCAAUCCGUGUAUGGUAAGUGUGUUCCCCUUUUUUCGAUUUACAGUGUGAAAUUGUAUGAUUAUGAAGUUCCCCUGUUCGAUUGUCUUCACGUACUGGGAAAUUUAAAAAUUUUAAGUGAUUUGGUGUGUUAGAACGUAAUGCUUGUGUACUAUCUUUUCUGCACAUGUUCGUUGCUUGAACUGAAAAGGGCUAGGGCUUAACAUCAUAUUUUUCGGUGUUUUUUUAGGGGAAAAUUCAAAGUACUUCAGCAUACGGCUUCAUCAUGGUGGAAUUUUAUUUCAGAAGAUGAGAAAUUUUGUGUAUGAGCAUGGGUAAAUAAGUUAUAUAGACUAUAUCGACCCUGAUUUCUUCAAUAGAUUUCUUUUGGACAAUGUCGUGAAGAUGUUAGAAUAUUCUGAUAGAAUUAGAUAUCUGUACAAGAUGGAGAAGAAAAGAAUGAGUGAAACUUCAUUUUGGUUGGUUAAAGACUCAGAUUUCAUGAAUUUAGUGAAGUGGCUUGGUGAUACUAGAACUGCUGAACUAUAUUGCUUGCCUGUAGUUGAGGUUUUGGAGUUGCCUUGGGAUGAUACAGAACAAAAGGAUGUUCGAGUGUUUGAUUGUGAGAUUGGUGAGGAGUUGUGAAGGUUCAAAAGUCUGGUGAAGCAUUGAAUGAGCAGCAACCAUGCUAUGCUAUUGAGAUUUAUGACGAAUCACUAGACGGUGAUGACGUGUAUGUGGUUGAUGAAGUGGAUGACAUGGAAGUAGAUGAAGAGGAAGUUUUCCUUACAGGAGAUUACGUCGAAGCGUCAUAGAGGUUACAGUGCAUGGAACAGAGCAUGAGUAUACAGAGGUUGAUUUUAUAGGGGCUGAAGUAGACUCACAUGAACCAGAAGUGCAUGCUGCUGAACCAGAGAAACCACAUGAUGUUGAACCACAGUUGAGGUCUGAACAUGAGUUGCAUGACGCUGAAGCAGUGGUACAAGUUGCUGAAACUGAUGUGCAUGCUUCUGAACCAUAGUAGCAGGCUCAACAGGAGCUGCAUGGUACUGAACAAGAGGCGCAGGCUGCUGAACAUGAUGCCGAAGCAAAGGUGUAGGCUGCUGAAAUUGAUGUGCAUGCUUUUGAACCACACCAGUAGGCUCAGCAUGAGGUGCAGGCUGCUGAAACUGAUGUGGAGCUUGAUGAACCACAUGUUGACGUACCGAUUGUUGAAACUGGUGUGGAACAUGAUGAUCUUGAGCAGGAUGAUGAAUAUGAGGAGGGUAUAGGAGAGGAAUUCAAUGACUCGGAGUACGAGCAGGAAGAAAAUAUUGUUGUGGAUGAUAAUGAUGAAAAGACAUAUUUUAGGUUGAGUGAAGGUUUUGACAUUGGUGUAAGUGGAGAGCAGAAAAGUGUAAGGGAUGAACAGGAAGGUGAGGCAGCUGCUGGGGAAGAAUAUGGAAUAGACUACAAAGACUCCAAUGAGCUUAGAAGCUUACCCGGUGAUACGGAGGCUGAGGGUCAUCUGCCAAAAGGAAGAAUGUGCGCUGGUUUAGCCCUGCAACUGAUAUGGAUGAUCCACAGUUCAAGCUAGGUAAUGCAUUUGUUUUGUUUAAUUCAUUUGGAUGAUAAUGCAUUCUGGUUUAAUUCAUUUCUACUAGGGAUGAAAUUCGACAACAUCAAGAUUCUAAAGAAUUCAGUAGUUCAAUACUCAGUCAAAAAUUUCAGGCAACUGAGAUACGUGAAAAAUAUGAGGACACAGUUGAGAGUUUGAUGUCAAGAUAAUUGCCCUUGGGUUCUGUAUGCGUACCAACAACCCGACAAGAGUCUUAGAAUUAACACAUUGGUAGAUGAGCACACAUGUACCAUCGUGUGGCAAAAUAAAAGGGUUAAUUUAGGUUUUUUGGCAAAGAAAUACGUGAGAAAAUUUAGGUCUAAUCCCAACAUUCCAAUGAGUAGUUUUAUGGAGACUGUGAAAGAGGACUGCAUGUAUGAGAUUUCAAAGCAUCAGUUCUACAGGACAAGAUCAAAAUGUGCAGAAGUUAUUAAUGGGAUUGUAGCUGAGCAGUACAAAAUUUUAUGGGAUUACGGCGAGGAAUUGAAGAGAGCAAAUCCAGGCAGUACAGUACAAAUUGAAGGUUCAGGACAUACUUUUAAGAGAUUGUACAUCUGUAUAAGGGCUUGUAAGGAAGGGUUUAAGGCCACGUAGAGGCUAGUUGUUGAGUUGGAUGGAUGCUUCGUAAAAUCUGUAGAAGGUGGACAGUUGUUGGCAGCUGUUGGCAUCGAUGGUAAGAACUGUAUGUUCUCGUUAGCAUGGGCACUUGUGGAUACAGAGAACAAAAUAAACUGGCAAUGGUUCAUAGAAUUGUUGGUUCAUGACAUAGGGAUGCACAACCGUCGAGCUUGGACAUUCAUUUCCGACAAACAAAAGGGUUUGAUGGAUUCCAUAAGUCAAUACUGUGAAGGAGCGGAGUAUAGGUGUUGUGCUAGACAUAUUUGUAGUAAUUACAAAGGGCUGGCACUUAAGAACCAUUUUGGAUUGCAGCAAGGGCAACAAUAGUGUCAGAGUGGAAGAGUGCAAUGAAUGAGUUAAAAGACAUAAGUGAAGAGGCUUACAACUGGUUCUUUGAAAAACCUCCUUCCCAGUGGACCAGAUCCCAUUUUGAAGAGCAUUCGAGAUGUGAUAUUCUUCUUAAUAAUUUGUGUGAGGCAUUCAAUUCUUCCAUUUUUGUUGCCAGAGAUAGGCCCAUCAUCUCGAUGCUAGAGAAAAUUCGGCAUCAGCAAAUGAUAAGGAUGAAUGCAAAAAUGGGAAGCAGCACAGAGGUGGGAUCAUGCAUUCGGGCCAAGAAUUGUGAAAAUUAUUGAGAAUGCUAAGUCUGAGGUAAGGUACUUGAAGGCAGACUAUGCAGGCAACCAUAAGUUUGAGAUAAGCAGCAAAGACGAUUUGAGGUAGAGCGUUGACUUGACAAAACAUGCAUGUGCAUGCAGAAAAUGACAGCUCACUGGAAUACCAUGUCCCCAUGCAAUAUCAAUCAUGCUUUCAAGGGAUAUUGGCAUAUAUGAGGAGAUCGACCCAUGGUAUAGCAAGGAAACAUACCUCAAAUGUUACUCCCCAGUAAUCUACUCGAUGUCAGGACCUGAACUGUGGCCAGAAUUGGGAAAGCAUCCUCUCAAUCAACCUCAGAAGAGAAAAUAGGCUAGCAGACCCAAAAAAAUGAGGAAGAGAUCGUAGGCAGAUCCAUCUACAGGCGUUAAGAUGGGAAGGACUGGCAUGAAGAUACCGUAUAAAUGUUGUGGAGGGUCUGGACAUAACAAAAGAAGUUGUGAGAGAGCACUGCCUGGUGAAGAUAGUUCAUAGCAACAGUCUCAACCAAACACAUAAAUAGAGUCCCAAGAAGAUACACAUACUAGAUCAGCGAAGGGGAAGAGAAAAGCACAUUCAACGGAAACCUCCAAGUCACAGACAAAGAAGUCCAACAAUAGAGGAUCGCAAUCUUGAACAUCAUGUGCUCUCUCUUGUAUAGUUACUUUUUUGGGAAAAUGCUGUGAUUUUUUGCAAACUGAACUGAAAAUAUGUGCUUCAAAUGCUGUUAUUUUGUAGAUGUAACUAGAAUUUUUGAUGAAAUUGUUGAAUGUGAUGAUAAUAUUGAUGUCGAAUAUCUUGCAUUAUGUUUCUGCUGUUUGUCGUUGGUUUCUGAAAUUGUAUUCGUAAGACUUGAUGUGCAGGCGAUUAGGAAAUAUAUGAAAAUAUUUGAUACUUCCUCUGAAAGUAUUAUCAAACAUUUGGUACCUUUACUGCAAUAUUUUUAAAGGUUUAGUAUUCUGUCUGAAAUCAUUAGAAAAUAUUUGGUACUGAUUCUGUGAAUAGUUAUAAGGUUUGAUACCUAUGCUGCACCUUCUUCAGAUAAGUUUGAAGUGUAACAAGCUCUUUUAAUUUCGCAUUUUACAUAGAGGCCAGGAAAAGAUUGUUAAAUUUCAAGUCAAAAUGUACAACACAAUUUUUCCUUUUUACAUAUGCAUUUCACAACAUCAAGCACAUGGCUCUAUGUCGAAACCCUAAACUCAAAUUUCUGGAACUAAAAACUAAAAUCCUACAAUCUGACAUACCUAGGAACAAAGCCAUUUUGCAAACACUCCACACACAAAGCCGAAGAGCCAGAUCUUCCACACAUUUGGUCUUGUUGCUUGAAGUGUGUUAAUUUUAGCUUCCAUUUCUCUCCUACCUCAUAAUAGACCAGGAAUCAAUUCCUUCGAUCUCUCACACAUCGAAGGGUCACAUCACAUAAAGAAGGUGCAUCCACCUACAUCUUGGCUUCGAGGACAAGUGAGAAAUCUUCUUCCCGAGUUCAAGUUCGUCCACGAGGUCUUCAUCUGCACCGGGGAACCACAUCUGCAUACAUUCCCCUCCAUGUGCGUGCUGAUUUUUUUUUACUACCUGUGAGAGAGAAGGGAGGAGGUAAUAUAAUGAUAAAGAAUUGAAGGGAAAUAAACAGUGAAGUAUAUAAUAGGAGGGAAAUGUGUGUAAUGCCCAUGUUGCCCUUCACUUAUUUGGGGAAAUUCUUGAAAAUAUCAUUAGAGGGGUCAACUGACGGUUUUGGCGAUCAAACAGACGGAAACCGUCAUUUUGGACUGGCCCUGCUCAUUUUUUAAAGGUUUGAUAUCUCCGGUGGUACAAACUAAAGGUUUGGGCAAAGUCUGCUAAUAAACGAAAAGUUUGGUACCUCGGCUGCAAUUUUCCCUUUCUUUUAUUUUAAUUAUGUGAACAUUAUGUCCUUUAACAAUCUAGGACUUACAACCAUAGUGCAACUGUUAUCGUAACCAAUCUGUAGAACCUGCCAUUUCACUAGGUAGAAGUCUUCUGAUUAUAUAUAUAAAAUCCCUCCCAGCAUUUUUUCAUACCCCCCAACUAUAUCUAAUACAGUGAAUUGCCCUUAUUAAUAUAUAAUGUAUGUUUUCAGUUAUAGUUCUAUUUGACUUAAAUUGCUACAUUACAAAAUUCUGCUUUAUUUAACAAAGACACCAAAUUAUUGUUUGUGUUAUAUGUACAUAAUAGAUUCACAAAAUAGUUUGCAUACUCAUGAUGUGCUGAGAUGUGAUUAUAUCAAAAUUUCUUCAACCAAAUAAAAUUUAAAAAAAAAUCCAAUCUCUUUUCACCUCCUCAUUUGUACAUAAAGCAUUAUGUAUCUGCUUGCGUACAAGUAACAUUAUUUUUUAAGGAAGGGGAAAUGAAUAUGUAGAAUGCCCCUUUUUUUUCUUCUUUUGUAACAAAUAAUCUUUUGUAACAAAUAAUGUGGAGAAUAUAGAAGCAACAAAAAACACUUUGAACUUGUUAUGACCGAUUUCUUUAUUUUCCCAUUCAUUUACAGGUUGCCAAUAUUAUAUUCAUUUAAAUAAAGUUCAUUUAAAUCAGAAAAAUAAGAACUUACAUAAAGAUUUCAAAUGACCCAUUAAAAUCAAAUGAUGGAAUUUGGGAGCGAAAUUGGAGGAGAGACGAGAGUAAUGGAUUUGAUUCGAUUUGAUUUUGAGGCUCACCCACAAAGAAUAAAAUAAUUCAAUUUCGGGGGAAAAAAAUCAAAAUUUUUUGUGGUGCCACUUGACUACACAUGACCCAUGUGGGUUCGCCUAUGAUGCUGGACAUCAAUGAUGCUGAAUGACAAUGCUUUCAUUAGAGCAUCUGUAAAACCGUUGACUACACAUUAUGUCCUUCAUAACCACAAAUUCUUGAAAAUAAACGCAUAUUUCAUCCUCCAAAGAAUGGUCAAUGCGAAGAUCUGAUAAGCAACGCAUAUGACCAACUUUUCUCAUAUUGAAAAGAACAACCUCGAAAUAUUUAUCAUCUGAGUCGUAUAACUUAAAAUCGUAGUCGAUCGAAGCAUUAAUAACAACAUACGUAGCAAAGUUAAAUAAGUAAACUAGUAAUACAAUUAAGAGGUUGUCUUGUUCUGCUUUUUCUUUAAAAAUCGAUUCUUGCAAGAAAUAUGGGGGACCCCGUUGCAAUUAAGCAGAUGUUGUACAAAAAUAUUAACUAUGACAAAGAAUAAAGCAGCCACCCCCACCAAAUGUUGCUUGUUUUGUGCAUAGACCAUUUCGCCCUUGUUCAAAGAUCAAGUAUAAAAAAAUAUUUGUACCAUACACUCACAAUGCGUCACUGUGUAAUGGGAUCAAGACUCGAGUUACACCAAAUUUCAUGUGAGGUUUAGGUGAUUUAUUGGCAUGGGUAAAAAUAUCUUUAAGUAAGCCAGGGAAGGGUACAGCCUUUGCAUGGUCUCUUUUUUUGGCCUGAAUUUCUUAUUCAAAAUCCCUGUUUCAAACUAUUGUCAUUGUUAAUAAAAACAAGAUAAAUUCUAAAUCUAGUUCAAAACCAAAUAAUCAAUACAUACUUUAGAAAAUAUGUAUUUUUAAAUUAAUAGUAGUUUUCAAACAAAAAGAAAAUUAACUCCACAAAAUCAAGUAAAAGAACAAUAAAAAAUAUGUCUUUAGAAUCGGUUUUUUAUUUACAUGACAAUAAAAGUUGGGACGUUCCUUCUUAAACAUCAUGUGUAAUCUCAAGUUAUUGUUGUUGGUUUCUUAAUUUCAUAGUGCUGACUUUACGAUUCAUCUAGAAACAAUGCACCCACAACUCUAACUCCCCGUUUUGCAAAUAAUGGUCCGACUUAAUUAUCACAUAAUUCAAUCUAUUGUUACAUGGCUCGGAACUCCUUAAUUUCCCAAAAUAUGAAAUUGGUUCUAAAAUUUAGGUGGUUAAGUAUGAUUUUGUGCGAGGCCAGACAGAAGAGUUAGAAUUUCCAUAAAUGAGAAAAUGAUAUGUAGUUGUUCUAUAUUAGUAAUUCAAUACAUAUGAAAAGCAUAUCAAAGGAAGCAAUUAAACCCUAAUUCAAGGUCUUUAAAAUUCAUGAUUUUCACAUAUAAAGAUUAAUUGAUCAAGAAACAUACCUUGAUCCACGACAAUAAUUAAGUAAUUUAAAUCUGCAAAAGAGAAACCAGUAGAAAUAAAGAAAACAUUAUCUUUCUUCACCUCUCUAUAAUUGAAUGUAUUAAUUAAUGAGUUUCAUUCACGCUUAUAAGUAGAGAGGGAUAGUUUCAUGGGCCAUUAAAAUAAUUGUUCACUUUCCAUCAAAGUGAAUAUUUAUAAAGCUGUCACUUGACUCAUUUCUCAAUGGGCCAAUAGAAUUUUAACAAUAUUAAUCACUUUAAAUUAAGUGGAAAUUGCACAAGAAUAUACUUUAAAUAUUCAACCUUCUAAAAUCAGAUUGAAAAUUUGAUAUUUCAAAAAUCAAUGUAUUAUAUUUAAAUAUUAAAUAUUAUAAUACAAAUUUUAUUACAAACCCUAAAUAAUUAUUCCCUCUCCAUCUUUUCCCCUCUCUCUCUUCUCACCCAUCUCCCUCCCCACUCUUAGUCGCCACCUCUCAGUAGCCUUGCCUGACGGCACAUCACCGGCAACAAAUAGCUGUGACAAUGGCGGUUGGAAGUGUUGGCGAUGGUGUUGUGGUGAUGGUCCUCUCUUCCCACCCGUCUCCCUCUCCACUCUCAAUCGCCUCUUCUCUACUCUCAGUAGCCUUUCGACGACACUUCACCGACGAGAAAACAGUUGCAAUCACUCUCUGUAAGGCUGGGACGACACACGGCUAUGACGAAUGGGGCUGCCGUGACAAGAUUUUUGGGGGUGAUUGGGCUGCUGACAAUACACGGCUGCUUAUGGUUUAGGUGUGUUCUCUGUUGGUGAUUAUUGGUUGAUGAUGGCUGAGGCGAUGGUGGUGGUGGUUUUGGAUCUAUGGUUUACAUUGAUUUGGUUACUUCUGUGGUUCACUAUCGAUUAUUUUAGUUUUGUGGCAGUGGUGGUGGUAGUGUAUGGUGCAAUGGUGGGGAUGGUUGUGCGCAGUUCAUAUUUUUUUUCAAAUUUUUUGCUGCGUUGACGUUGGUGCGGUAGAGGUAGCUGUGGCAGUGGCAGUGGUGCAGUUUUUUUACAGGUGGUUAAUGGCGGUGAGACAUUGGUUUUGGUUGUUGAAGUGGUGGUGGUAGUGGUGGCAACUUCCAUAUUUUGGAGGUAGCGGGGCGGUAACGAUGAUAAUGAUGGUGGUUGCAGUGGUCGUGAGUAGGAUGAGAUGGGGUUAAAUGCUUGUGAACAAUUAUUUGGUUGAUUGUAACUAAUAAUUGGUUAAUUUGUAAUACGUGACCUCAAAAUUGUGACUGUGACUCAUAAUUGAUUAAGUUGUGACUAGAAAAUGAAUUGUGACCAAUUAAUAUAAUAAUUUGCGAUGAAUAAAUGAGUUGUGAUCAAUAAAAAUUUUGAUUUUAUGACCAAUAAAUUAUUUGUAACCUGUAAAAUUUUUGAUUUGUGACCAAAAAUAAGUUGUGACUAAAAAUUAAUUCAUGAUUAAUUAAUUUUUUGAUUUGUGAUCGAUGAACAAAUUGUGAUUUACAAAAUUUUUGAAUUAUGAUCGUAAAAUAAUUUUUGAUAUAAAAUUUUUAAUUUGUGGCUAAAAAUAAUAAAUGACUAAUUAAAUUGUUAAUUUGUGGUCAAAUUGUAUAGAUCUGUGAUCUAAAUAUAUUUAAUUGGUAAAUUAAUUAAUUAAAUCAUAAAUAAUUUUUAAUAAAAAUCUAACUUUUAAAGUUUAAAACUUUUUUUCUUAAUUUUGAAAUAUAUGAUACUUAAACUCUCACUUAUUAAAUUUUCCUUCAAAUUAAUUCUUUAAUAAUAUUACAUGGGCCACAUUUAAUUGGACUAACAAUCAAUACAAAAAGGCUGGUGUAAGGGAUGACGAUAGCCAUCGACUGUAUUUUUUUGACUUUUUUAUAAAUAAUAUAAAUAUAUAAAUAUGAAGGACAGAAAAAGAAUACAAUAUUCCAACUUUUCCCUUUAUCUCAGAUCUAUGCCAUUUUCCAAUAACACAGUAAAACAUAUAUGUUUCUGCAGCUCAAUUUCUAGGCUGAUUAUUAUGAAGUUGAUAUGGUUUGAUGCACUUCUUCUUCUUCUUCAGCUCCUCUUUAGCAAGGCAGCAUCAGAGUUCAAUAUAGAGACUCUUCCGGGUUAUUCGGGUACUCUUCCUGUCAAGCUCGAAACAGGGUGGGUUUCUUUCAUUCUUUAACAACUUCCUUUUGACUUUUAAUUCCAGAAACUGAGUAAAUUUUUUUAUAAAUUUGGAUGAUUAGAUAUAUUGAUGUGGGAGAAACUGAAGAAGUGCAACUAUUCUACUACUUCAUCGAGUCCGAAAGCAAUCCUAAAAUGGACCCUAUUCUGCUUUGGCUCAACGGUGGACCUGGUUGCUCUGCUCUCUCCGGCCUCUUUUAUGAAAUCGGUACUCUCUCUAUAUGUGUGUCAUUAUUUUCUUUCAGCAAAUGGGACUUAUACAUACUCAGGGAAUUACAUCCUUCCUAUGCAUAAACGGGAGAGAUAUGUGUGUGCAGUAUGCAAAUGAUGAGUAGCAACCAGCAAAAUAUGGAAAGUGAUUCGCACCAUUCAAAUUGAACACACAAAAGAUCUGCAUGUGCUCUGUAUCGUAGAUAAGUAAUAUAACGAUAAGUAGAGUAUCGUCUCACGAAAAUUAUGUAUUUAAUCUAGUAUCAAUUAAUGCUUACUCUAAUUGAAUUGUUGAGUUUGUAUGGUGAAUUUAUACUAAUUAAUUAAUUAAAUUACUUCAAUGAGCAACUUAUGAAAGCUUUUUGUAAAAUUAUGUUAAGCACUUGCUACGACUUUGAAUUUUCCUUAUUAAUCCAAUUUAAUGCAAUUCAAUAUCAUGACAAUAUGUAAUCAUUCUCUUCUUUUUCUUUUUUUUUCUUUUUUUGUUAUUAUCAAUGUUCCUAGAUUAUUUAAUAAUUUAUCUCGAGUAGAAAAUCUAUUCUUUCUUGUGACCCUUAUAAAUCUUUCUAUGAAAGGCAAACAUAAAAGUAAGUGCUCAAACUUUAGAACAUCUAUUGAAAUCUACAAGGCACUCGAUCAUACUUCACAAUAUUUACUAUAACAUGCUAUAGAUCUUAUUAUUUCUCUUGAAUCAUCAAUUCAAUUAUUAAUCAGGUAAUUCAAAGGCAUUAAACCCUAUAACAAUUCCUAGGAAUAACAAAUAUGAGGCGUCAAAAUAUUGAUAUUUUAUUAAAAUUUCAUAACAAUGGUUCAUUUAUAUCUUAGCAACUAAUAAUCUAGCAUAGCAUUACUAAGUUGCAUUAAAUCAUAAUUAAUUUGUAGAACAUCAUUCGGAUUCUCGAUAUAGGAAGAAAAGGAGGAAUCACGAAAUUUUGAGUCUCUUCAAUGGUUUUUUAAUUAAUGUCCAACUUUACAUUCUUUUUCUUUGCCAAAAAUCAAUGUUGAAUCUUCAAAUGAUUGAAUUCUCAUAUAUUGCCUCUUGAAUUCUCCCAAAAGAACAAUUAAUUGGCCUCUCUUAGUUGCAAGAUUAUGCGUAUGAUAUGAUACGAGAGAAGUCCUUCCAAUGUUUGAUGGUGUUGUGUAUUUAUAAUGGUCGAAUCUAUGUCGAAAUCCAAGUUUUGAAAUUGACUUCCAAAAUGUGUUUUGACUCAAAAUAGGAAACAGCUCCCAUCUGUCAGAAUUUGGGUCGUGCAUUUCGUGCCCUAUAGACUUUAGGAAUGUUCAGUUUGGCCCUCAUCUUUUGUCCUUUGUUUAUUUUGAGUCUGUUCUUCUUGCAAUUCCAAUCCUUCAUCUUCUAUAUUCACUCAAUUGAAUCCAUGCAAUCUUCAAUCACCUUCUUUGGUCGAAAUCAACUUUUGAAAUUCUUUCUUUUUCACCCUUCUUUUUCCAAUUUCUACUUCUUUUGCGCAAAACCUAUCCAAACUUGAAUAUGUUUUGCAACAAUCGAUAUUUAAACAAAUUAAAUAGCAAUUAACUCAAAAAGAUGCCUAAAUAUGAUAACUAGAUAGGUGUAAAAAAAAAAAAAGUGGGUCAUGUUACAUGUACAUCAAUGAAGAGUUGAAAAAUAGUUUUUUCAAUCCUCCGACUAUGGAAUUUCACAUAUAUAUUAUGGACACCCUUAUGGAUACCAUAAUGUACAUAUAGAAUUACACUAUCACAAAAUGACAUAGACAACAAAUUCAAAAUAUUAAAAAGGAUGGAUUUUUUUUUUCUAUUUUUAAUUGACUUUGUGCUGGAAUGAUUGCCCCAAAUUUCUAACUCAAAAUUUUUACAAUAAUUUACAAGUGAAGAGCAAACCAGUUCCUAUAUCUAGUGUGAGUUCGCUAAUUUAGUGAUUUUUAAUGGUGAUUUAAGUUUCAACUAGUUUUGUUUAGAAUUAAUUUCCAUUCUAAGAGUAUAUUUCCAAGGAGCUGGCCAUAGAAUCCGACAAGGUAAACUUUACGGCACCAAAAAAAUCAUUGCCUUUUCCAAAUUUUUACUCGGUCUCUCCAAACGAAUAAAAAAAAAUCAAUUCUAAAAAUUGUUAAAUAUAAUCAGCAAGAUUCACCGAAUUGAAAGAAUAUUAUGCCCAUGUUUGUUGCCCAUUUUCCACUCCCAUUUUAGACAAAAUAGAGCCGUUACUUGUCCAUUCCACUGACAUUACUGUCCUUAUGUUACUGCACAAACAAAUUUUUACACUCCAAUUCCUUUACAAUCCUCAACAAUGAGCAAAAAUUAUGGGAGGUGGAGAAGUCAAAAAGGGUGGACUUUUGUAUGAGAUGGGGGCAUUUCGGGAAAGUAAAAUAUUGCACUAGUCAAUUUCAAAUGGAUGUCAGCAUGUCGGACCCCAUGUUGGUAGGAAGAAUGCAUUUUUUUGGGUAAAAAUGGGAAACAAACGGGGCUAUAUUUUGAUUACCCCAUUAACCUAUAUCUGAAAUAUAACUUUCAUGAUGUUCAUGUCAAUUUUGUGUGCUUUUGUGUAGGUCCAUUAGCUUUUGAUGUUGCAGAUUUUGAUGGAAGCUUACCAUCUAUUCACCAAAAUCCAUAUUCAUGGACCAAGGUUAAAAACAUAUCUCACUCCAUGAUUAAAGUCAUGUACGUAUCUCAUCUAUAGCUCUCUAAAUUUAGCACUACAGUAAUUUAGCCUAAUGAUUUGCAGGUUGCCAAUAUUAUAAUUAUUGAUUGGCCCGUUGGCACUGGAUUUUCCUAUGCAAACACAUCUAAAGGUUACUCUUCUUCAGACACUAAAUCAGCAAAAGACAACUAUACAUUUCUUAGAAAGGUAAGUUGAUAUUGUUAAUCAUAAGUCAUCUUUGUAAGUAGCUAUUGAAGACAUUAGAAUUUUAUGUUAUUAGACUUCUCCGUUUCACCUAUUAAAAAGUUGCUUAUAUACAACUCACACUUAAAAGUAAUGUAUGAGGUUAGAAUUUUCGAUGUAUUUGUAAACCCAUAGGCUAGGCCUCUCGCUAGCUGCAGGAUUUAAAAAUAGUCGCUAUACCAUCCACAUGUGUUUUCGGGUUAGUGAGCUAACAAAAUAUUGAAAAUGCAGUGGUUGUCGAAUCACCCUAUGUUUAUGAAAAAUCGUUUAUAUGUUGCGGGGGAAUCUUAUGGUGGCAAACUGGUUCCCAUGGUUGCCUUGGAAAUAUUAAAAGGUAAGUAUGUAAAUAAGAAAUAUAAAACUUGGUUUUAUUCGAUUUUUUUCUUAAUUAGCUAUGCUUGAUUAAGUUGUAAGUGUUGCUGGUAAUGCAGGCAAUGAAGCAGGCUUCCACCCACGAAUAUUUCUCCAAGUAUUAAUUCACUAUUUAUAUGAUAACUCUUUUUUAUUAUCAAAUAUUGUACCAUAUAUCAUGUUAAUGAGAGAGUGCUUUCAAAAUUGAAAUAGGGAUACAUUAUUGGGAAUGGAAUAACAGAUCCAAACAUUGAUUUCAAUGAACGAAUUCCAUAUGCUCACCGAAUGGCACUUAUACCAGAUGAAUAUUUUGAGGUAGUAAUAUUCCUGAAUCGAUUAUUUUGAUGAUAAAAUUAAUCAUACCUAAAACUUAUCAGUGAGUCUACUCUUAAUUUUUUUAUAACUAAACAUUUCCCUUAUUCAUGUAACUUGAUACAAUUUUAGUCAGCAAAAAUUAGCUGUGAUGGGAAAUAUUACAAUCCUGAUCCAAAAAAUCUACAAUGUCUUUAUGCUCUUAGACUGAUCCAAGAGGUAACAUUUGCAUCUUCUUGUAUUUUACAUUUUUGAAAGUUAGUAUAGCAUAAACACUCAUGAGAUGAUCAAAUAUUGCAGAGUAUAAAAAAUGUAAACGGAAGACAUAUUCUGGAACCAAAAUGUAAAAUUAUGGCACCAAAACCAGAUGAAUUGGGAUGCGAUCAAACACUUGCCGACGAUGAUUCCAUUGACCACCUCCUCCUCCCAUCCAAAAUGGAUGGAUUGUGGUGCCGCGUAAAUUUUGGCCUCUAUUUAUAUAUCUCAUGGCAUGUUCUCCUAUAGUUAACAGGUUUCUCAAGACAUAAUUUCUUUCGUGCAGUCUGAAACUUAUGCGACAUCAUAUAUUUGGGCAAAUGAUCCAACCGUCCAAGAAGCUCUUCAUAUUAAAAAGGUACUUCUGAUACAAAAUUGUUGAAAAUCCAUUGCGCUUUAUAAUGGUUAAUCGUUGAUUUUGAUUGCCAGGGAACAAUAACAGAUUGGACGAGAUGCAAUCGUGGCUUAUCCUAUGAACAUAAUAUCGAAAGUGUUGUUCAAUAUCAUAAAAUCCUCAGCAAGAAAGGAUAUGAAGCUUUGGUAUAUAGGUAGUCAUAUUCAUUGUUUUUUUUUUUAAACAGAGUGUGACUUAAUUUGUUCUGAGUUUAUUCUAGUCUAUCAAGUGAGAUAUAGUUGUUUCACAAGUCAUGGCAAAAAUAUAAACUGAAAAACCUAACUCUACAAAUUUGUAAAUUUGAUUUAAUAUUUUUCAAUUGUUUGUGUUCUUUCUAGUGGUGAUCAUGACAUGGGUGUGCCUUAUAUGGGUACUUUAAAAUGGAUUCAUGGUCUCAAUCUAACCAUAGAUGAUGAGUGGAGACCUUGGAAUGUUAACGGCCAAGUUGCGGGGUUGGUUUCUAAUUAUUUAUCACUUUCAUUUACACACAUGUAUAUUGCAUCUUAUUAAUUAAUCUCAAAAUUUCAUUUACAUUUUAUUUUGUAGGUACACAAGGAAAUAUAAGAAGAAUGACUUCUAUCUCACAUUCGUAACGGUGAAGGUAAGAAAAUUUCAAUAUGCUCUUUCUCACAAUGAUUGACAGAAAAGGAAGUAAACAUUUGUUAUAUAUUGCAGGGUGCAGGUCAUACGGCUCCUGAAUAUAACCCUGAACAGUGUCUUGCAAUGCUCGACCGAUGGCUCUCUUUAUAUCCUUUAUAGGUUUAGGUUGAUGACAAAGUUUUAAGGGUUCAUCCAUUACAUCUUUUUAAAACGGUAUUGUCAUUAUAUAAUCUGUAAUUGUUUAUUCAGUUAAUAAAACCAAUGUAAUAUGAUAAUCAUAUAGAAAUCUUUUAUAAAUGAUUGAAUUUAAAAGAAAAGAUAAUUUUAACCUAAUUUUGGUCAUAUUUAGCUUUACGGAGUCUUUUUCUUUCUUUGAAACAAUAUCAAUAUUUACAUUUUAAUCAAAGCCCCACAAACUACAGACCUAAACUGCACGAUAAAAUUAACUCAAAGAAACAAACUCCUUUAUUAUGUGCCAUAUGAAGCCAACUCGUGGGUCACUUUAUUCGCAUCUUAAGAUUAAAGCGGCACGAACCACAAUUAAGUUUACAUAAAGAAGAAAAAGUAUCCUUGGAAUUGAUUCCAUUUUGUAUAUUAUUUCGAAUGCAAUAAUUUUUUUCUAGAAUUUACUGCAGACUUUCAUUCACCUUGUGUGUUCCAGCCCAAACACAAUAUGGCCUUCCAAGCAAAAUGUUCGAUCGGAUUUGUUUUCAAUUCAAUUUAAGACUCAUUUAAACCAACUCCGUUUUUACUAAAUCGCAAGAAAUUUCUUACCUUUAUCCUUCAUUUUGCAAAUAAUUGAAAGAUUAUGUUUCACAUUUACUUUAAAUUUAAUUGACAGAUUUAUGUUUCAAAUUUACUUUAAUUGACAGAUUAUUAGCAUUUUUUUUCAACCGAUUUCAGUUUAAUUACUUUUUGAUUCUAUAUUUUAUUGAUGUUAGAAUUUGCCAUUUGAACUCUUUUGUCUAUCAUUUUACCUGGUUUUUAUAUUUAUUGUGAUUUAGGGGUAAAGAUCUAACCUGAAGUUGGAGAAGUCGGAAAAAAAGAGCAAAAGAAUGAGUGAAAUUGUGGGAGGAACUGAUUUUCCUUCUACGACUUCAAUAACAUCAUUGGAAUCAAUAAAGACGUGAUAAUGCUGGUUUCGAUGCCAGUCGAAUUGCAGAAGUGAAAGCAUGGCUCAUUUCCCAAUUUAAUGGAUGACUUUUAUCUCACAUUUGUAACGGUGAAGGUAAGAAAAUUUCACUAUGCUCUUUCUCAUGGUGAUUGAAAGAAAAAAGAAGUAAACAUGUGUUAUCUAUUGCAGGGUGCAGGUCAUGCGGCUCCAGAAUAUAACCCUGGACAAUGUCUUGCAACGCUCAAUUGAUGGCUCUUUUUAUAGCCUUUAUAGAUUCAGAUUGAUGGCUAAGUUUUUAGGGUUCAUCCAUCACACCUUUUUAGCACUGUGAAAUCAAGAAGAAAAAAGUGAGAAAAAAUUAUAUAAUGAAAGCAAACUUCAAAAUAAAGUAAUAGCAAUGCCAUGUAAUGUUACAAUGCACGUACGUCAUCAAAUCAAAGAUGCCUUGGCUUCUAUUGAUCUGGUUCUGUGGUAUUGUUUUCCAUGGUGGUGGACCCCGCCAAAUGUUAUUGGGUUGAAGCCUCGAAGUCAUUCAGCCUCCUUAGCAUUGAUCACACACUUAGAUGAAGUAACCUUGUAACGUGAACAGUCAUAGCAGUACGAGUAUUGCAUGUGCUUCUUACGAAAAAUCUCAAUUUUCAUUUGCUUUUCACGAGUGCAUUUUCCGCAGCAUUCUAAAAAGCGUAAAGCGUGACUCAGUGUGAAAGCCAAUUUUCAAGCUUUACGAAUCUAGCCAAGGCCUAGGAGUAAAAAAACAUGUUUUUUUAUUUAUUUUUAAUAUUAUUUAAAAUUUUAUUAAAAAUUAUUUAAUAAUUAAAAUAAUAUAUACCGAACAUUUAAAAUUAUAACAUACUAUAUUUAUUUAAUAAUUCCUACAAUUAGUAAAUUAUACAAUUUUUAAUUUUUCAAAGUGCAAAAAUUAGACUUUUUUUUUAUAGUUUCAACUUUCAACAGAUAAGUCUUACUUGAAAUUUUCUAACAAAUUUUUAUUUUUGACACUUGUUCAAAUAAAGUUUUUUAAAAACUUGAAAAAAAUCUCAAAUGAAAGGCUUUUAAAAAAAUAAUAAUAAAAGAAUUAAUAAAGCGCCACUACGCACUCAUUGUCAAGGUGUAGCAUUUCGCUCGGGCUUGGUGAAUAAGCGUUGCUUGGCAAGCUUUUUAGAACACUAAUGUUUAGUAUAGUAAUUUGUUCCUUUACUUUAUUUUUCUUUUAACCCUUUUUGAAGAGAAUAACGUGAUGGAAAGAAAUUGAUUCAAAAAGUAGAUAAUAUUGUUUUAUUUAUCAAAAAAAUCGAUUUUCCCUUAGCUAAAGAUAUGACCUUUUAGAAGUAUACGAAGUUAAGAAAAUGGAGCAGAAAAUUGUUAAAAUUUUUUGAAUAGCUCGCCAACAAAUUGAACGUGAAAGGAAGAACAUUUCGUUGCUAUAGUAAUGUUCUUGUUUGGUAAGCAUUCCAUUACAUUUGGAGUUGUACGUUGAGUUUUACUCAACACCAUAAACUUGUUUCAUUAAACUCCAUCAACUUAAUCAUCAUUCUUCUAUCCAGUAGAUUUGACACACUUCAUAUGGUGACGAAGAAAAUGAGUGGAAAAUUCAUGAAAUGGGAAAUAUGUUGAUGGUAUUGCAUUUUCCCAACCUCAUCCCUAAUGAAUAAUAAGCAUUUGACUAUACUCCAUACAUUAGCAGUUAAAAGAUAUGCACGUUGAACAUUUUCAUAGAUCUUAACAUUUAUUUUCCUUGGUAAUCUUGUUUUUCAUUUCUUUUAUUUUAAUUAUGUGAACAUUAUGUCCUUUAACAAUCCAAGACUGACAACCAUAGUGUAACUGUUAUCGUAACCAAUCUGUAGAACUUGCCAUUUCACUUGGUAGAAGUCUUCUGAUUAUAUAUAUAAAAUCCCUCCCAGCAUUUUUUCAUACCCCCCAACUAAAUCUAAUACGGUGAAUUGCCCUUAUUGGUAUAUAAUUUAUGUAUUUAGUUAUAGUUCUUUUUGACUUAAAUUGUUACAUUACAAAAUUCUGCUUUAUUUAACAAAGACACCAAAUUAUUGGUUGUGCUAUAUGUACAUAAUAGAUUUACAUAAUAGUUUGCAUACUCUUGAUGUGCUGAGAUGUGAUUAUAUCAAAAUUUCUUCAAUCAAAUAAAAUUUGAAAAAAAACAUUCAAUCUCUUUUCACCUCCUCAUUUGUACAUAAAGCAUUAUGUAACUGCUUGCGUACAAGUAAUAUUAUUUUUUAAGGAAGGGGAAAUGAAUAUGUAGAGUGCCAUUUUUUCUGUAACAAAUAAUGUGGAGAAUAUAGAAGCAACAAAAAACACUUUGAACUUGUUAUGACCGAUUUCUUUAGCCUCUCCUUUCAUUUACAGGUUGCCAAUAUUAUUUUCAUUUAAAUAAAGUUCAUUUAAAUCAGAAAAUUAAGAACCUACGUAAAGAUUUCAAACGAUGGAAUUUGGGAGCGAAAUUGGAGGAGAGACGAGAGUAAUGGAUUUGAUUCGCUUUGAUUCUGAGGCUCACCCACAAAUAAUAAAUUAAUUCAAUUUCGAAAAAAAAAUCAAAAUUUUUUGUGGUGUCACUUGACUCCUCACGACCCAAAUGGAUUCGCCUAUUAUGCUUGACAUCAAUGAUGCUGAAUGACAUUGCUUUCAUUAGAGCAUCUGUAAAGCCCAUUGACUACACAUUAUGUCCUUCAUAACCACAAAUUCUUGAAAAUAAACGCAUAUUUUCAUCCUCCAAAGAGUAGUCGAUGCGUAGAUUUGAAAAAGCAUAUGACCAACUUCUCUCAUAUCGAAAAGAACGACCUCGAAAUAUUUAUCUUCUGAGUCGUAUAAGUUAAAAUCACAGUCUGUCGAAACAUUAAUAACAGCAUAUGUAGCAAAGCUAAAUAAGUAAACUAGCAAUACAAUUAAGAGGUUGUCUUGUUAUGCUUUUUCUUUAAAAAAUCGAUUCUUGCAAGAAAUAUGUGGGACCCCUUUGCAAUUAAGCAGAUGUUGUACAAAAAUAUUAAUUAUGACAAAGAUAAAGCAGCCACCCCCAUCAAAUGUUGCUUGUUUUGUACAAAGACCGUUUCGCCCCUGUUCAAAGAUCAAGUUGAAAAAAAAAUAUUUGUACCAUACACUCACAAUGCGUCACUAUGUAAUGGGAUCGAGACUCGAGUUGCACCAAAUUUGACUUGAGGUUAGGUGAUUUAUUGGCUGGGGUUAAAAUGUCUUUAAGCAAGCCAGGGGAAGGGUGCCGGCUUUCCACGAUCUCUUGUUUUGGCCUGAAUUUUUAAUUCAAAAUCCCUGUUUCAAACUGUUGUCAUUGCUAAUAAAAACAAGAUAAAUUCUAAAUCUAGUUCAAAACCAAAUAAUCAAUACAUACUUUAGAAAAUAUGUAUUUUUAAAUCAAUAGUAGUUUUCAAACAAUAAGAAAAUUAACUCCACAAAAUCAAGCAAAAGAACAAUAAAAAAUGUCUUUAGAAUUGGUUUUUACUUACAUGACAAUAAAAGUUGGGACGUUCCUUCUUAAACAUCAUGUGUAAUCUCAAGUUAUUGCUGUUGAUUUCUUAAUUUCAUAGUGCUGACUUUACAAUUCAUCUAGAAACAAUUCACCCUCAACUCUAACUCCUCGUUUUUGCAAAUAAUGGUCCGACUUAAUUAUCAUAUAAUUCAAUCUAUUGUUACAUGGCUCGGAACUCCAUAAUUUCCCAAAAUAAAAAAUUGGUUCUAAAAUUUAGGUGGUUAAGUUUGAUUUUGUACGAGGCUGGACAGAAAAGUUAGAAUUUCCAUAAAUGAGAAAAUGAUAUGUAGUUGCUCUAUAUUAGUAAUUCAAUACAUAUGAAAAGCAUAUCAAAGGAAGCAAUUAAACCCUAAUGUCAAGAUCUUUAAAAUUCAUGAUUUUCACAUAUAAAGAUUAAUUGAUCAAGAAACAUACCUUGAUCCAUGACAAUAAUUAAGGAAUUUAAAUCUGCAAAAGAGAAACCAGUGGAAAUAAAUAAAACAUUCUCUUCCUUCACUUCCCUGUAAUUGAAUGUAUUAAUUAAUGAGUUUCAUUCACGCUUAUAAGCAGAGAGGGAUAGUUUCAUGGGCCAUUAAAAUAACUAUUCACUUUCCAUCAAAAUGAAUAUUUAUAAAGCUGUCACUUGACUCACUUCUCAAUGGGCCAAUAGAAUUUUAACAAUACUAAUCACUUUAAAUUAAGUGGAAAUUACACAAGACCAUACUUUAAAUAUUCAACCUUCUAAAAUUAGAUUGAAAAUUUGAUAUCUCAAAAAUCAAUGUUUUAUAUUUUAAUAUUAAAUAUUAUAAUACAAAUUUUAUUACAAACCCUAAAUAAUUAUUCCCUCUCCAUAUUUUCCCCUCUCUUUCUCUUCUCACCCGUCUCCCUCCCCACUCUUAGCCGCCACCUCUUAGCGGCCUUUCCUAACGGCACAUCACUGGUGAUAAAUAGCUGCGACAACGAUGGUUGGAAGUGUUGACGAUGGCGUUGUGGUGAUGGUCUUCUCUUCUCACCCGUCUCCCUCUCCACUCUCAAUUGCCUCUUCCCUACUCUCAGUAGCCUUUCGAUGGCACUUCACCGACGAGAAAACAGUGGCAAUCACUCUCUCCACUCUCUGUAACGCUGCGACGACACACGGCUAUGAUGAACGGAGCUGCCGUGACAUGAUUUUUGGGGGUGAUUGGGCUGCCGAUGAUACACAGCUGCUUAUGGUUUAGAUGUGUUCUCUGUUGGUGAUUAUUGGUUGAUGAUGGCUGAGGUGAUGGUGGUGGUGGUUUUGGAUCUAUGGUUUACAUUGAUUUGGUUACUUCUGUGGUUCACUAUUGAUUAUUUUAGUUUUGUGGCAGUGGCGCGGUGGUGGUAGUGUAUGGUGUGAUGGUGGUGUGCGGCGGCUGGGAUGGUUGACUGCAGUUCAUAUUUUUUUUUCAAAUUUUUUGCUGCAUUGACGGUGGUGCGGUAGAGGUAGCUGUGCUAGUGGUGCAGUGAUGGUGUAGGUGGUUGAUGGCGAUGAGACAUUGGUUUUGUUUGUUGAAGUGGUGGUGGUGGCGGCUUCCAUAUUUUGGAGGUAGCGGGGCGGUAACAGUGAUAAUGAUAGUGGUUUUAGUGGUCAUAAGUGGGAUGAGAUGGGGUUAAAUGCUUGUAAACAAUUAUUUGGUCGAUGGUGAAUUUUUGAUUCGUGACCAGAAAUUAAUAUGACCUAUAAAAUUUUUGAUUUGUGACCAAAAAUAAGUUGUAACUAAAAAUUAAUUCGUGAUGAACUAAUUUUUUGAUUUGUGAUCGAUGAACAAAUUGUGACUUACAAAAUUUUUAAAUUAUGAUCGUAAAAUAAUUUGUGACAUAAAUUUUUUAAUUUGUGAUUAAAAAUAAUAAAUGAUUAAUUAAAUUGUUAAUUUGUGACCAAAUUAUAUAGAUCUGUGAUCUAAAUAUAUUUAAUUGGUAAAUUAAUUAAUUAAAUCAUAAAUAAUUUUUAAUAAAAAUUUGAUUUUUGAAAUUUAAAAUUUGUUUUCUUAAUUUUGAAAUAUAUGAUACUCAAACUCUCAUUUAUGAAAUUUUCCCUUAAAUUAAUGCUUUAAUAAUAUUACAUGGGCCACACUUAAAUGGACUAACAAUCAAUACAAAAAGGCCGGUGUAAGGGAUGACGAUAGCCAUCGACUGUAUUUUUUUGACCGUUUUAUAAAUAAUAUAAAUAUACAAAUAUGAAGGACAGAUAAAGAAUACAAUAUUCCAACUUUUCCUAUUCUAAUCAACUCUCUCAUCAAUUUCAAAAAAGUUUAUCUCAGAUCUAUGCCAUUUUCCAAUAACACAGUAAAACAUACAUGUUUCUGCAGCUCAAUUUCUAGGCUGAUUAUUAUGAAGUUGAUAUGGUUUGAUGCACUUCUUCUCCUUCUUCUUCUUCAGCUUCUCUUUAGCAAGGCAGCAUCAGAGUUCAAUAUAGAGACUCUUCCGGGUUAUUCGGGUACUCUGCCUGUCAAACUCGAAACAGGGUGGGUUUCUUUCAUUCUUUAACAACUUCCUUUUGACUUUUAAUUCCAGAAACUGAAAAAAAAAAAAUUAUAAAUUUGGAUGAUUAGAUAUAUUGAUGUGGGAGAAACUGAAGAAGUGCAAAUAUUCUACUAUUUCAUCGAGUCCGAAGGCAAUCCUAAAACGGACCCUAUUCUGCUUUGGCUCACGGGUGGACCUGGUUGCUCUGCUCUCUCCGGCCUCUUUUAUGAAAUCGGUACUCUCUCUAUAUGUUUGUGUAUUAUUAUUUUCUUUCAGCAAAUGGGACUUAUAUACAUACUCAGGGAAUUACACCCUUCCUAUGCAUAAACGAGAGAGAGAGGUGUGUGCAGUAUGCAAAUGAUGAGUAGCAACCAGCAAAAUAUGGAAAGUGAUUCGCACCAUUCAAAUUGAACACACAAAAGAUCUGCAUAUGCUCUGUAUCGUAGAUAAGUAAUAUAAUGAUAAGAUGAAUAUCAUCUCACAAAAAUUAUGUAUUUAAUCUAGUAUCAAUUAAUGCUUACUCUAAUUGAAUUGUUGAGUUUGUAUGGUGAAUUUAUACUAAUUAAUUAAUUAAAUUACUUUAAUGAGCAACUUAUGAAAGCUUUUUGUAAAAAUUAGGUUAAGCACUUGCUACGACUUCAAAUUUUCCUUAUUAAUCCAAUUUAAUGCAAUUCAAUAUCAUGACAAUAUGUAAUCGUUCUCUUCUUUUUCUUUUUUUUUCUUUUUUUUUUAUUAUCAAUGUUCCUAGAUUAUUUAAUAAUUUAUCUCGAGUAGAAAAUCUAUUCUUUCUUGUGACCCUUAUAAAUCUUUCUAUGAAAGGCAAACAUAAAAGCAAGUGUUAAAACUUUAGAAUAUCUAUGGAAAUCUGCAAGGCACUCGAUCAUACUUCACAAUAUUUACUAUAACAUGCUAUAGAUCUUAUUAUUUCUCUUGAAUCAUCAAUUCAAUUAUUAAUCAGGUAAUUCAAAGGCAUUAAACCCUAUAACAAUCCCUAGGAAUAACAAAUAUUAGGCGUCAAAAUAUUGAUAUUUUAUUAAAAUUUCAUAACAAUGGUUCAUUUAUAUCUUAGCAACUAAUAAUCUAGCAUAGCAUUACUAAGUUGCAUAAAACAUAAUUAAUUUGUAGAAUAUCAUUCGGAUUCUCGAUAUAGGAAGAAAAGGAGGAAUCACAAAAUCUUGAGUCUCUUCAAUGGUUUUUUAAUUAAUGUCCAACUUUACAUUCUUUUUCUUUGCCAAAAAUCAAUGUUGAAUCAUCAAAUGAUUGAAUUCUCAUAUAUUGCCUCUUGAAUUCUCCCAAAAGAACAAUUAAUUGGCCUCUCUUUGUUUCAAGAUUAUGCGUAUGAUAUGAUAUGAGAGAAGUCCUUCCAAUGUUUGAUAGUGUUGUGUAUUUAUAAUGGUCGAAUUUAUGUCAAAAUCCAAGUUUUGAAAUUGACUUCCAAAAUGUGUUUUGACUCAAAAUAGGAAACAGCUCCCAUCCGUCAGAAUUUCGGUCGUGCAGUUCGGGCCCUAUAGACUUUAGGAAUGUUCAGUUUGGCCCUCAUCUUUUGUCCUUUGUUUAUUUUGAGUCUGUUCUUCUUGUAAUUCCAAUCCUUCAUCUUCUAUAUUCACUCAAUUGAAUCCAUGCAAUCUUCAAUCACCUUCUUUGGUCGAAAUCAACUUUUGAAUAUUUGUAAUUCAGUCCAUGAACUUUGAAAUUCUUCCGUUUUCACCCUUCUUUUUCCAAUUUCUACUUCUUUUGCACAAAACCUAUCCAAACUUGAAUAUGUUUUGCAACAAUCGAUAUUUUAAACAAAUUAAAUAGCAAUUAACUCAAAAAGAUGCCUAAAUAUGAUAACUAGAUAGGUGUAAAAAAAAAAGGUGGGUUAUGUUACAUGUACAUUAUGGUGUCCAUAAGGGUAUCCAUAAUGUACAAGUGGUAUAAUAUCAAUGAAGAGUUGAAAAAUAGUUUUUUCAACUCUUCAACCAUGGAAUUCCACAUGUAUAUUAUGGACACCCUUAUGAAUACCAUAAUGUACAUAUAGAAUUACACUGUCACAAAAUGACAUGGACAACAAAUUCAAAAUUUUAAAAAGGGUGGAUUUUUUUUUUUUUUUUAUAUUUACUUGAUUUUGUGCUGGAAUGAUUGCCCCAAAUUUCUGACUCAAAAUUUUUACAAUAAUUUACAAGUGAAGAGCAAACCAGUUCCUAUAUCUAGUGUGAGUUCGCUAAUUUAGUGAUUUUCAAUGGUGAUUUAAGUUUCAACUAGUUUUGUUUAGAAUGAAUUUCCAUUCUAAGAGUAUAUUUCCAAGUAGCUGGCCAUAGAAUCCGACAAAGUAAACUUUACGGCACUGAAAAAAUCAUUGCCCUUUCCAAAUUUUUACUUGGUCUCUCCAAACGAAUAAAAAAAAACAAUUCUAAAAAUUGUUAAAUAUAAUCAGCAAGAUUCGUAGAAUUGAAAGAAUACAUAUAUCCUGUUUGUUGCCCAUUUUCCACUCUCAUUUUAGACAAAAUAGAGCCGUUACUUGUCCAUUCCACUAACAUUACUAUCCUUAUGUUAAUGCACAAACAGAUUUUCACACUCCAAUUCCCUUAAAAUCCUCAACAAUGAGCAAAAAUUAUGGGAGGUGGAAAAGUCAAAAAUAGUGGGCUCUUGUAUGAAAUGGGGGCAUUUCGGGAAAGUAAAAUAUUGCACUAGUCAAUUUCAAAUGGAUGUGAGCAUGUGGGACCCCAUGUUGGUAGGAAGAAUGCAUUUUUUUGGGUAAAAAUGGGAAACAAAUGGGGCUUUAAUGAUUCAGACGGGUAAAUACAAAUUAUUUGGGUAAAAAUGGGAAACAAACAGGGCUAUAUUUUGAUUACCCCAUUAACCUAUAUUUGAAAUAUAACUUUCAUGAUGUUCAUGUCAAUUUUGUGUGCUUUUGUGUAGGUCCACUAGCUUUUGAUGAUGUAGAUUUUGAUGGAAGCUUACCAUCUAUUCACCAAAAUCCAUAUUCAUGGACCAAGGUCAAAAACAUAUCUCGCUCCAUGAUUAAAGUCAUGUACAUAUCUCAUCUACAGCUCUCUAAGUUUAGCACUGACUAAUUUAGCGUUAUGAUUUGCAGGUUGCCAAUAUUAUAUUUAUUGAUUGGCCUGUUGGCACUGGAUUUUCCUAUGCAAACACAUCGAAAGGUUACUCUUCUUCAGACACCAAAUCAGCAAAAGACAACUAUACAUUUCUUAGAAAGGUAAGUUGAUAUUGUUAAUCAUAAGUCAUAUUUGUAAGUAGCUAUUGAAGACAUUAGAAUUUUAAGUUAUUAGGCUUCUCCAUUUCACCUAUUAAAAAGUUGCUUAUAUACAAUUCACACUCAAAAGUAAUGUAUGAGGCUAGAACUUUCGAUGUAUUUGUAAACCCAUAAGCUAGGCCUCUCGCUAGCGAUGCAGGAUUUAAAAAUAGUCGCUAUACCAUCCACAUGUGUUUUCGGGUUAGUGAUCUAACAAAAUAUUGAAAAUGCAGUGGUUGUCGAAUCACCCUAUGUUUAUGAAAAAUCGUUUAUAUAUUGCCGGGGACUCUUAUGGUGGCAAACUGGUUCCCAUGGUUGCCUUGGAAAUAUUAAAAGGUAAGUAUGUAAAUAAGAAAUAUAAAACUUGGUUUUAUUCGAAUUUUUUUCUUAAUUAGCUAUGCUUGAUUAAGUUGUAAGUGUUGCUGGUAAUGCAGGCAAUGAAGCAGGGUUCCACCCACGAAUAUUUCUCCAAGUAUUAAUUCACUAUUUAUAUGAUAACUCUUUUUUAUUUUCAAAUAUUGUAACUUAUAUCAUGUUAAUGAGAGAGUGCUUUCAAAAUUGAAAUAGGGAUAUAUUAUUGGGAAUGGAGUAACAGAUCCAAACAUUGAUUACAAUGAACGAAUUCCAUAUGCUCACCGAAUGGCUCUUAUACCAGAUGAAUAUUUUGAGGUAGUAAUAUUCCUAAAUCGAUUAUUUUGAUGAUAAAAUUAAUCAUACCCAAAACUUAUCAGUGAGUCUACUCUUAAUUUUUUUAUAACUAAACAUUUCCCUUAUUCAUGUAACUUGAUACAAUUUUAGUCAGCAAAAAUUAGCUGUGAUGGGAAAUAUUACAAUCCUGAUCCAAAAAAUCUACAAUGUCUUUAUGCUCUUAGACCGAUCCAAGAGGUAACAUUUGCAUCUUAUUAUAUUUUAUAUUUUUGAAAGUUAGUAUAGCAUAAACACUCAUGAAAUGAUCAAAUAUUGCAGAGUAUAAAAAAUGUAAAUGGAGGACAUAUUCUGGAACCAAAAUGUAAAAUUAUAGCACCAAAACCAGAUGAAUUGGGAUGGGAUCAAACACUUGUCGAAGAUGAUUCCAUUGACCACCUCUUCCUUCCAUCCAAAAUAGAUGGAUUGUGGUGCCGCGUAAAUUUCGGCCUCUACUUAUAUAUCUCAUGGGAUGCUCUCCUAGAGUUACCAGGGUUUCUCAAGACAUAAUUUCUUUUGUGCAGCCUCAAACUUACGCAACGUCAUAUAUUUGGGCAAAUGAUCCAAUCGUCCAAGAAGCUCUUCAUAUUAAAAAGGUACUUCUGAUACAAAAUUGUUAAAAAUCCAUUGCACUUUAUAAUGGUUAAUCAUUGAUUUUGAUUGCUAGGGAACAAUAACAGAUUGGACGAGAUGCAAUCACAGCUUAUCCUAUGAACAUAAUAUAGAAAGUGUUGUUCAAUAUCAUAAAAUCCUUAGCAGGAAAGGAUAUGAAGCUUUGGUAUAUAGGUAGUCAUAUUCAUUGUUUUUUCUUUUUAACUGAGCGACUUAAUUUGUUCUGAGUUUAUUCUAGUCUAUCAACUGAGAUAUAGUUGUUUCACAAGUCAUGGCAAAAGUAUUAAUCGAAAAACCUAACUCUACAAAUUUGUAAAUUUGAUUUAAUAUUUUUCAAUUGUUUGUGUUCUUUCCAGUGGUGAUCAUGACAUGGGUGUACCUUAUAUGGGUACUUUAAAAUGGAUUCGUGGUCUCAAUCUGACCAUAGAUGAUGAGUGGAGACCUUGGAAUGUUAACGGCCAAGUUGCAGG
rnacentral:lncRNA from 1 species